AUAUAUAUAUAUAUAUAUAUAUAUAUAUAUAUAUAUUUGCUACAUACAUGUGCAUGAACGAGAGCUAAUGAUAACUGCAAAGAAGUUCAACGUCCGUUAUCCUCUUUUUAUUUGAAGAGGAAAAGCGUUUCCGUGUCCACGUUUAUAUAAUUUUUUGUCGUUCUUACGAGUGUAUAUAUCAACCGUUCAGUGUACUCUGCUCUCAAGUUACUAUGAUAUCUGAUCAGUUACACUUCACUGAACACACAUUUCAACGCCGUCCGACAAAUUUUUCAUAAUUCAGUGACUUCCAUAGAGGCAACCAUCAGCUAUCUAACGAUAUAUGCAACAAGUUGGAAUAUAAUCGAGAGAGAAAUUUUUUUAAUUAUAAUAUGUACAAAUGUACAACGACUUUAUAUAGAAUGAGAAGAAAAGAAAGGAUCAUCAAAUUCAGAAAAAGAAGAGAAAGGAUAAUAAUUUAUAUAACUAUGACGUGUUAGCGAUUUUCUCGAGAAACCACUCCGAGAACUCGUUUUGAGUUUCAAGAGAAACUACGUGCGUGGUCAAAUAUAGAUCUACAGACAAAUGUCUUAUCGGUAGACGCUAUCGCAUUUCUCCCACGCAGACGUUAGUAAACGAGGGAUAUUUCACGGCAGUUGGCGUUACUCCAUUUCACAAACAUUACACAGGAUGUCCAAUUUCAAAAUUUCGCACGCAAUUAUUUUACGAAUUAUAGCUCCAUUCGAAAGAAGUUUUCUUCAAAUAAAAUUUACCCCUUGGUGGAUGAGUGUAUCGGUGGAUGGAUGGGAUGAGAAAUUUAACGUCUUACAGUGAUUCUAAAUCUUCUAUAGGUGGACUAAGUACUUAUGAAAUUUCAAACUGACCUUUGCUUUUUUUUCUUUCUUUCUUUUGUUUUCUUUUUUUGUGUUUCUUGGUUUUUUUUUAUCCCUACCGUACUGUACGUUUUUGAUUUAGGUAUAGAAACGUGUUGACUUUUUCAAGAUGAAAUCAUUGACCAUAACGUUUUGAUUCUUGAAGACACAGUGUAAUCCUCCUCGGUCGUUAAAGGUAGGAGAUCUGUCAAGAUGGCGCCGUGCAAAGCCUCCGCUAGUUCGGAGGGUGCACAGCCACCACCGGGCAGAGUCCACCACUCUUCUGCUCGUACGUUUAUCCUGGUGCCUGCGAAAUCCCCAUAAGCCUCGGCUUUGCUUUGGAAUUAAACAAAUAUUUCCGAGAUGUUGAACUGGUGUGCGAGGGAUGCUGAAUUGAUAAAGUUCCAGCCGAUCUCACCAAAAGGUAACUUAACAGUGUCAUUCCCAUUACCAUGAAGAUUAGUAUGCAAGAGUUCCUCUCUCUCUCUCUCUCUCUCUCUCUCUCUCUCUCUUUCUUUCUCUCUCUCUCUCUCUCUAUCUCUCUUCAUGGUUAUGAAAAGGAUUAUCGUUUUAUCAACACAGCAACAUCAAAAUCCAUAAAGGGUAUGUCAUAGUGGAUAGUAUAAAUGAAAAUGGGACUUGUUUGCCUGCGAUCAUUGGGACUUAAGAGAAUGCAUAUAUGAGUAUAUACGCAAUUGCUCAUGGAGAUCAUUGAAUUAUAUUGAAUCAAAUGGAGGCGUGUUCGAAUUAUAAAUAUCUCAUCUGUUCGAGACCAGACUAAAUGAAUGUAACAUAGCCCGGAGGUGAUCGUUUCCGUAUCGUUCCUGAAUAAAUCCAUCACCGAGACCAGACAUUAUAAUUUUAUGUUCUUACGACGUAGAUCCGGUCAAUUCAUAUUCGUGUCCGUUAAAUUCAUGAUUUUAAUAUGAUUUAUGAUUUUACCGACAUUCUUACGAAAAUUGAAAAAUUUCU